GAUCAUGGCUCAGGACGAACGCUGGCGGCGUGCUUAACACAUGCAAGUCGAACGGAGCACCCUUGAUUGAGGUUUCGGCCAAAUGAUAGGAAUGCUUAGUGGCGGACUGGUGAGUAACGCGUGAGGAACCUGCCUCUCAGAGGGGGACAACAGUUGGAAACGACUGCUAAUACCGCAUGACACAUUCGGGCGGCAUCGCCUGGAUGUCAAAGAUUUUAU
rnacentral:rRNA from 1 species